CCUGCCUCUAGAAGGAUUACUGGUGGCUGUUGUGUCACAUGCACACCAGUAAGUGGCAGAGAGGAGAGAGGCUAUGUCUAUGUUUAGUGUUCUGACCUGUGAACAUCUGAGUAAUUAGUAGUCUAAGGUU